rnacentral:rRNA from 1 species
GAUGAACGCUAGCGGCAGGCCUAAUACAUGCAAGUCGAACGAGAUUAUUCCGGUCUUCGGACUGGAAUAUGACAGUGGCGCACGGGUGCGUAACGCGUAUGCAAUCUACCUUCAUCAGGGGGAUAGCCUCUCGAAAGAGAGAUUAAUACCGCAUAAUAUUAUUUAACGGCAUCGUUGAAUAAUCAAACAUUUAUGGGAUGAAGAUGAGCAUGCGUGACAUUAGCUAGUUGGUGAGGUAACGGCUCACCAA